rnacentral:tRNA from 1 species
GGGUGCGUAGCUCAGCGGAUAGAGCAACCGCCUUCUAAGCGGUCGGUCGAAGGUUCAAGUCCUUCCGCACCCG